GUUUCAGACAUUGACGAAUGCGCCAUUCUGCCUUGUAAGUACGCUGCUACCUGCAUAGACGGCCUGAACACUUACCAAUGUACAUGCGCAACUGUAUUCUCGGGACUGAAUUGCGAAACAGACAUUGACAAGUGUGCAUCAAGUCCGUGCAAAAAUGGAGCAACUUGCAUUGAUAAACUUGCUUUGUUUACCUGUUUAUGUAAAUCAGGGUACACCGGACGACUUUGUGAAACAGAAAUCGACGAAUGUGCAACAAAUCCUUGCUGAAACUGCGGGUCUUGCAAUAAUGGAAUUGAUUCUUUCAAAUCCUCUUGCAUAUCUGGAUUCUAAGGUGUUCUGUGCGAAGAAGGAACCGCUAUCCCCGUAUGCCCCUCCUACUAUAGUGGAGUAGCACGUACUGGGGACUUCUGGAAAAUGCUGCCAAUAAUGUACGCCGAGAUGAACGUGUGGCUGAUGUAUUCAAUAUAUUAGCAUUAUGACUGUACCUUUGCUUUAUAUGUUUAAGUUAUGUAUAGGUUGCGGCAUAAUCUAUGCAAACAUUUCGAGAUAAGAACUAGAAAAACAUUGUAAAAUUUGUUAGGUUUAUUGAAAAUUGACGAUCGUUGUUGGCAGUUUAAUCGGUUUGUUUGUUUGGUACCACAAUAUAUAAUUAUACAAUGUAUAUUUUGUGCUUAUAAAUAUUAAGCGAUGUUCAUUUGUGGUGUUGGUACUAUGCAUAGCUACACGCGGUAAUGUUUUUUAGUAUUGCAUAUACACGUAAAUACUACACCUGUAUAAUUGCAUACAAUAUAAAUAAGCAUACCCCCCCCGGUAGUUUACGUAUUUAUUUAUCAAUCUUUUUUAUGUUGAGAUUGGACCGUGGUUUAAAAUUGUAUUAUGAUCCAAAUAAUUCAUAUCCACUUACUUUUUAGUUUAUAUUUUU